CCUACGGGAGGCAGCAGUGGGGAAUCUUGCGCAAUGGGCGAAAGCCUGACGCAGCCAUGCCGCGUGAAUGAUGAAGGUCUUAGGAUUGUAAAAUUCUUUCACCGGGGACGAUAAUGACGGUACCCGGAGAAGAAGCCCCGGCUAACUUCGUGCCAGCAGCCGCGGUAAUACGAAGGGGGCUAGCGUUGCUCGGAAUUACUGGGCGUAAAGGGAGCGUAGGCGGAUAGUUUAGUCAGAGGUGAAAGCCCAGGGCUCAACCUUGGAAUUGCCUUUGAUACUGGCUAUCUUGAGUGUGGGAGAGGUAUGUGGAACUCCGAGUGUAGAGGUGAAAUUCGUAGAUAUUCGGAAGAACACCAGUGGCGAAGGCGACAUACUGGCCCAUUACUGACGCUGAGGCUCGAAAGCGUGGGGAGCAAACAGGAUUAGAUACCCUGGUAGUCCACGCCGUAAACGAUGAGUGCUAGUUGUCGGCAUGCAUGCAUGUCGGUGACGCNGCUACGCAUAAGACACUCCGCCGUCGGGGAGGUACGGUCGCGAAGAGUUAAACUACGAAAGAAGUUAGACGGCGUGAGACGUCGCCGACGGACGACGACGAGGGAGUUAGG
rnacentral:rRNA from 1 species